CUUGUCUCAGUGUCUCAUCCCAUAUCAGUAUCUCACCUUGUCUCAGUGUCUCAUCCCAUAUCAGUAUCUCACCUUGUCUCACUGUCUCACCUUGUCUCAUUGUCUCAUCCCAUAUCAGUGUCUCACCUUGUCUCAGUGUCUCACCUUGUC